CAAGUCACACAUCAACAUCUUUGUUACAUUCAUCGCAAACACCAAAGUAAUUGUUCAAGAAUUGACCUUAGUCACAAAGGUAUCUUAGAUAAAAUAAACAGAUAGAUAUUUCACAUCCCUGUCUAAAAGUGACGUUUGUCACCAAACUAAUAGUCCUAACAGACAGUGCUAGCAACUAAUUAUUCUUGGUGCCAGGAGCAAAUAACUGAAGUUGCUGAAUCUCUCCAUGUCCUGCAAAUGCACAACACAUUAGAAACAGCCAUCACUUGUUGAAACAAAUAAAAUUAUCUAUAAAGAACGUUACAUGUGUACUGCUAGAAGAAAUCAAGCAACAACAAUCUUUUCCACUUUAACAUAUAUUUGAGCAUUUAUAGGAAAUACAUUAAUUCACACUGAACAUUCUCACACCAAGAAUAAAGUUUAAAUUCCUCUAGUCAAUACUGAAAACUUAGUACAUAUUGACACAGUCACAACUACAAAUGCAAAUACUGAAUUGCUAAAAAUUGUAAAGCAGAGGAUAGGUGAGCUGAGCUAUUGCCAACAGCCUGCCAACUGCAUCAAUGUGAUUGAACAUGCUUCAGGAAACUACAUGAUGCAAUGGCGUGCUCAGUUAAGAUGCAUUCGUAACUAUAUUAUCUAAACUCUAAAUUAGCAUGCUAAGUGACAUGAUGCAGUAAAGUAUUUUCUAGGCUGCUCACUUGGUAUUCUUGUUGACAGCUUCAGUUGGCAAAGGGGAAGUCUAAGAGCGAGUACCAGCAGCAGCCUCAGAUUAUUAGUAGUUGAUGAUGUGCAGAGAAGCAAAUGAUAAGUUCCUAGACAGUUAUUAUUAGCCUCACAUUGCUCUACUGUCUAGCAUUUUAGUUGCUGCACAGAACAUUGACAAACACUGCUGUUAUCACAGAGCCACUACUGAACAUAUUUUUCGAUACUAAAAACAACUUUGCUGUUUAUGCAUGAAACAAUAUUUCAGAGUGAAGUUUCCUAUUGGCUCUAAAAUAAAAGUCAGGGGUUGUCAUAAGUUAACAACCUAGAGCUGUUGUGAGGAAAGCUCUUCAUUUUUCUCAGACCAUCUCGUGAAAAUCCUUGCAUUAAUCUUUAUAUACUCCUAAUCUUAUUUCUUUUUGAAAUACUAUUAACACUCUCGCUAGGAAGUAGUUGAACAAAUAUUACAAUCUGCAUAAUCUUAGUAUAAUCUGUUUCAAGCCACAUUAAUGACCAUGAAAAUAAUAUGAUUGAUGACCAUGAGUGAUAAAGCAAACAUUGGGUAGUGUUUUCAUGAAUGAAACAAAUGUCACAUGAAAAAUUACUUUGUAUCUGACAGUGUUCUCUGAGGAUUUGGUUUUCUAGAACGCCAUAUCUAUAAAUCGAUAGCCCAACAAGAAAUAGGAAGGCCACACCUUUUAGAAUCCCUGCUAUGAUGGCUUCUUUCUAGCUUUGAUUUCCCUGCAAGCAAUCAUGUAUUGAGAACUCUGAACUAAAAAUAAAAUAGGACUGGACAUAAAUUAAAUCCAAACACAAGCUAAUUUGGAGCAAAACCAAACUCUGAAGCAAAUAAAGGGAUACUAACUUCCCAAAAUAAUACAAAAAAACUCAAAAUUGGAUUUUAUGAAACAUACACAGAUACGAUAAAAGAAAUUUUAGGCAUAUCAAUAAAAAUAUUUGUUUGAGCAAUAUGGUCUUGUUCUGCACAUGCUAAAAUUAGGAACUUUCUCAAGCACCACAUCCUAACAUAUGAAAUUCUAGGCACAUAAAAAGAAAUAUUAAAGUUGGUUGUAGAGGGAUAUUAUGAGUGCACAUCAAUGGAUAAUGUGUGUGAGUUAUCAUGUUUCAUUUUUCAUCUCUAACUGUAGAUUAAGCUUGCUACUACUGUCAAUAUUAAAAAAAAACAGCAGGCCACCUUGUUCUCAUGGCUAUUCAAGAUUACAGAAUUGGUACAGAGAAAGACGAUGAUAUAGCAGUCCGGUGAAGCACCUUAAUGUGGAGAAAGUUGUUUUCCAAUCAGCCAUGUUUUAUGUUUAGAACUCAUUAUGGACAAACAAGAAACAAAGUUUUUUUUCAUCUUCAGACCUUUAGAAAACUUACCAAAAUUCACAUGCAUUUGUGAAUUGAUGGGCUUCAUCAACUCUUCUAUUUGUAAAUAUCCACUCUGACCCAUCCUGCAAUAACACAGAAAGACAAAAAACUAUCACAUUUCUCAAAGACUAAAAAUACUAUUGUUAUCCGCCCUCCUAACAGCUGAAUUCAACAACUACAGAUGGGGCUCCAUCUAGACCAAACCACAAAGGUUAUGGUCGAAGGAUAGACCAUACCCAAAAAUGUAAGUAAAAGGCAAAAUCAAACAACAAUUGCAGUAUCAUAAAAAAAAUCACCUUAUCACGAACACAAGUACUAGUAUAUGAAUCAAACUUACCUACUGGCUCAUGAGUAGUUGACUUCUGGUUUCUGCCCUUCCUACCAGGAGCCAUUUUGAUGCGGAGAUGUCGAUGGCGAGUGCUGCUGUUGGUGGUGACUAGAGUUCUGAAAGGCGUCAGUGGGUGCGGACAGCGUCGUCGUAGGUGGCUGGCGUUGGAGCAUAUGGAUGUCGUUGGAGGCUGCAGAUGGCGUCGACUGGAGUUCGGGGCCGGACGGCGUAGGCGGGUGUGGAUGGCCUCGCAGCCUCUUUCACAGCCAGACGAAGUUAGGGUUUGGGGAAGCUGCAGGAUUUAGAAGGUAGGGUUUGGGGAACGGGGAAGGGAAUAGAGAGUGACAAUGGAGAAAGAACAGAAGUGCCCUUGAUCUGACUAAGCCUAUUCUAGAAUGUGUGGGUAAAAGGAUCAUUUUACACCUAAAAUUUUGAUCUGGCGGGGGAUGCACGUGCUCACAGCGAAUUCCAUUCGCGCUCAGUAAUCUCACCGCAAAUUCAAUUCAAAGUAUAGCUACAUGGAGGCUACAGAGAGUUGCUCACAUCAAAGUUCAGAGUUCCAGGAGAGUUGCUCACCUUGCAGCUGUGCCACCCAGGCCGGAUCCGUCGGACUGGAUCCGCCGGACUGGGAGCGGAGAGGCCGCCAGGAGGGGGAGAUGGGAGAGGCCAAGAGGGAGUGGGCGACUAAGAGCUGGUAUACGCUGCAGCACCACCGGAGGCCAGAUCCAGACGACGUGGGCAGCCUCUCGCCACGAGCGCGAGGAACCGCGGACGGGAUUUCGGCGAGACGCCGCAAUGGUUCUCUCGAUAGAUGGUAGAUGACGAGCAGUGUAUUUGGUUGGGUCUUUCUUUUUUACCUCGCCG
rnacentral:lncRNA from 1 species